UACGAAGGGGGCUAGCGUUGCUCGGAAUUACUGGGCGUAAAGCGCACGUAGGCGGGUUGUUAAGUCGGGGGUGAAAUCCUGGAGCUCAACUCCAGAACUGCCUUCGAAACUGACGAUCUUGAGUUCGGGAGAGGUGAGUGGAACUGCGAGUGUAGAGGUGAAAUUCGUAGAUAUUCGCAAGAACACCAGUGGCGAAGGCGGCUCACUGGCCCGAGUACUGACGCUGAGGUGCGAAAGCG
rnacentral:rRNA from 1 species